rnacentral:sRNA from 1 species
CUAGGAGCAUCGCAGGAAGCGACCAAAACAACAGGGAACAGGAACAGUGCCUUGGAGGCACCACGCAUUAGGGAUGAUCAGGACUAUUCUGCAAAACCUCGCCUCGGCGAGGUUUU